UUACGGUCAAAUCACGCUGAAACACCGGUUCUCGGUCGAUCACCGAAGUUAAGCAUCGUAGAGCCAGGUCAGUACUUAGAUGGGUGACCGCUUGGGAACACCUGGUACUGUAAG